UACGUAGGGGGCAAGCGUUGUCCGGAUUUAUUGGGCGUAAAGAGCGUGUAGGCGGCCAAGCAGGUCCGCUGUGAAAACUCGAGGCUCAACCUCGAGACGUCGGUGGAAACCGUUUGGCUAGAGUGCGGAAGAGGCGAGUGGAAUUCCUGGUGUAGCGGUGAAAUGCGCAGAUAUCAAGGAGGAACACCUAGUGGCGAAGGCGGUCGCGU
rnacentral:rRNA from 1 species